GUGAGGCUCUGUUUCAGCUCUGGGGGUUGGCUCUGAUCUUGGUCCUGUGCAAAUGCAGUGACUGAGCAUUACCACUGAGCCCAGUGAUCCAGUGUUAUGCUUGGAGGGACUGUGACAGGUGUGUGAUAGUAUAUACCUAGAAGGGAACACAGAAACUACAGACUGAAACAGUGAAGACAGCGGGCAAAUUGUGGAAAUGCUUCAUGCCUAAAAUGUUGCUGGGGGUGGAAUAUUCUGAACCACUGAUUUAAUGAAGAUUUUUAUUAGAUUCCAUUUGCUUCUCAAAGAUUAGAGAAUUAAGAAAUCAAGUGACAAGCACAGCAAGGAAGCUGAAAUGGCUGCUGGAACUGCCAGAAAUGUUGUACGUGCACAAUGGGUGUGCUCAGAAAGAAGAUAUGACUAUCACACUAAUCUCUAGUAGCACUGUUGAAUAUAUGCCAGUUUACACAGUAUUGAAGAAUAGGCUUGAACAUAAACCUCAGACAUCUGUGGAUUUGGUUGAAGUACAACUCUGCCCUACACACAAAAGCAUUGUUUUGUACAACUCCAUUACUUGGCUUACUCAUGAAGAUCUGGAUUCAGCUGCCCUGCCCUGAUUUUACUUUUCAGUUCUGACAUGGGCUGGCUCCUUUUACAGCUCCCUGUGAACAGUCAGUUUCAUUUGAAUUUGCAUUGGUGCUCUUGUCAAUACAACAGCUUCAGAAAAACACAGCUCAUCUAAUUUUCCUAAUCGAUCUGGAAGUUGACCAGAUGGCAAAGAAAAGGGAAAGAAAUCUUGAAUGAACGACGUGGAAACAAUCCUGGCUUUUGUUUCUGGAGUUGUUUUUGUGCCUGUGGUGGUGUUCUUUGGGGGGGAUCCACAAAUAUGGAGAGAAGAACUGUUAACACAGAAGAUCUGAGCUCAGCUCUAGAAAGCAGAACUGAAGAUGUUUUGUAUUUGCUUCCCAUGACAGGAAGAAGGCAUGGCCAGUUCCUGGUUUGCUGCUGGACGAGUUGGCAGAACCAUGGUCAAUGUAUCACCGACCUCAGAGCAAGUAAUGAAUUAAAGGUGGCAGCUAUGUACCAGGAAUCAAAAUUGCAGGGCUGAAAGUGAGAGAAAAUGGACAUCUGCUGAUCAAAUACAAGCUGCUUCUGAAAUCUGAUAUCUGUUGGAAGAAAAGAUGGCAUCCCAUUCCUCAAGUGCUUCAAGUAUGUGGUGCUUUGGAGCCUUAUGGUUUAGCUGGAAUUUCCCAAGCAUAUGGACACUACUCAAAGAGCUGGAGUCAAAAAUCCCAUUUGGAAGGUACUGAGAGAGCUGAGGAAUGGCUGAUGUCAGCGCGAGAGGUGGUUAAUGGCUGCCUGAAUAUGUCUGCUGGCUGCUGACAAAUUCCAGAUGUGGCAGCUCUGAUCCUGAACCAGAGACGCCCCUGCUGAAUUGCUGUCAGGAGCCACCUGCAGCACUUGCUGUCUUGACAUUUCUUGCACUCUUGGCAAACUUUGUUUCUUUCCCAGCUGCACCUGGGGCCAUGAAAAAGAAUUCCUUGUGUCCAUGCCGAAGUGCAUAACUCUGGAGCAGAAGCAGCCAUUCCCCAGGGCUCCAGACUGGUGGCACAUUGCAUGAACUGCCCUCACAGUUGUGAUCCACAGAGACAUUUCAUUUAAAAUUAGAUUGUUGGGAAAAGCUCUUGGAAAAGGCCAAUACACACCUUUGGAAGUCCCUUGCCAGUGUUGGGCAAGAGCUGGCCAGAUUUACAGACUGUCGAUCAAAAUUUUUAUUCCUCAGGUACAGGCUGUGAAGAGCAGAAGUGAGCUGAGUUUCUGGGAACACUUUUAAAAGUACAGAGGCUUCAACUACCCUUGCAGUAAUGCUGUAGGUGACUCACUGGCAGUGUCUGUGUGAGGCAUAUUUUCAGGAGCUUGUCAGAGGUAUCUAUAAGGGAGAACAGGCUUUAUUUGCAGCUAUAAAGAAAUAAUGGUCUUAUCAGCAGGACACUGGUAUAUUUACUUCACAGUAAGUAAUAUCUGGAAAAAGCUAAUCUUCACAUGCCAUAAAGCAGGAAAGAGCUAUAGCUUAUUUAUAACACACUCGCAUUCUUCUGCAGAGCUAAAAGAUCUAUUAUUGAAAUAGCAUUUUGCAGGUUUUGUGAAAUGAGGGCUUAAAAAUUAUUUCAGCAAGUAAAAACACUCAAGUUGGUCUUUCUAUAGCAGGAACAAUUUUUCCAAGUCUUUGUGGUCAUAUCAAUAUGUCAUCUGGACCAAGAAUUAGUAUCUCAUAAAAUAGUAAUUAACAAGAAAAGGAGGGCAGAUGUGGAUUGUUUUGAGCAAGAAUACCUGUUAUACCUCUCCAACCUCUCUGCCAUCUCAAAUUACAACAGAGCAAAUUCAGCCGUGGUGUAAAAUCAAUGAUUUUCAUGAGGCUGAAUAAGAAUUUGAAGUGUGGACAGUAGAAGUGAUAUGUUAGUCUUUCUCAGCUAAAAGAAACUGAGAAGCAAUGUUUAUAUCCAAAAUAUAGCAAUAGUUUUCUGGGUUUCAAAAACUUAACAACUGUAAUUCCUAAAGCUCUUUGCCCAGCGUGAUGUUCAUCUAGGGAACUGUUUGCUAUCUCCUGUUAAACAGGAUACACCAAUUUAGGUCUAUAGCUUAGUAAAGCAGGGCAAAUUCACUAUGAGUUGAGAAUCUGGCCCAAACUGUGCUGAAGAGACCUAAGGGUGUCCCAGACAGCUGGGGUACUGCAGCUGGGUUGUGUAGUUAGGUGGAAAGGUAUAACUCCAUCUUUAACUGCACCUUUACAGCCAUUUAUAAAGCUGUCUGAGUCAGUCAGUUCAUCUGGAAGAGCCAACCAGCCACAUGUGGUUCUGGGGAGAAGACAGAUGUUGCCUCUGUAAUCUAUACGUGGGGUGUUUUUCUGAAAGUAAUGCAGCAGCAAAAUGUGGAAAAAAUAACAUAACAUUGCCUUCUGCUUUUCCCUAAGUUCUCCAAAGAAUAUACGUCAUCACCAGUUGAAGGUUGUCUGAAGUAUGACACCUUGCCUUGGAGUUUCAUGUCUUUAUAAAGAAAUGCAGGGACUUCAGUGUUUGGUCACUGUCAUGCCAAAACCCUGGGCAGCAAUUCUGCUCCUCAUUACUGGACACGCACUUGGCAAUAAGGAUGUUAGAUAAAAGGCUGGCUGCAGAAAUGAGAUUUGCUUUCCCUUGAAGCUCUAGAAAAGGGGAGCUAAGUGACAACUCCUCCUUCACUCAGUGAUUAUGCCAUGCCUUGAUAAGAUCUGCUGAAGCUGGAUUCUUUUCAUCUCUGUGCUUUGGUGUGUUGUGUCAGCCAGUUCUGUCUUGCAAAGGGUAGGGCCCUGCUUUCUAAGUAACCUGGUGGAAUAUCCAAGGGUACUGCAGAGGACAGCACAAUUCACCGUGUCAAAGAACAUGAAGAGACACCAUUAAUGCUCCUCGAGUAGUGGCCACGUGUUAUUGGAGGUCCGUGGUACACUGAUCCCCGAGCACCACAGAGACUGGUACACUGCAAAGUGUUCAGUCUUCUUUAUAGACCUGUUCCUGUAACCUAUGUUUGCAUUGCAGUGGAAGAAAAUUGCAUUUAAAUCACAAAAAAAGAGUACACAGCACAUUCUGAGUAGAUAGUUUGGUGGCUACAAGUGUGCAUGUGAACCUCAUUAAAUACUUGGUUUGCAAACUUAAAAUUCUACCAAGGUACUCAUGUUGUCUGCCAGUGUCAUUUACUUUUUUUUUUUUUAUUGAAACAACCAGAGAAUAAAUUACUUCCUUAAUUUCCCAAAAGCCCAGCUAAAGCAAUACUUUCCAGCAUGCAUGGUUAGUAAAAAGAUUUGGGUUAUAAAGCAGGACAAGACAGUUUGAAAUCCAAGGAGUAGUCCCAAGCAAAUAGCAGCCUUUGACUCCUGUCAGGGACUCCAUCCAUCAACAGUGUCAAAACGGGUAAAAAUAGCACAUCUUUCCAUUAAAGUUCUGCACGGGGGAGGUAAGGCAAGGGAACAGGAGCCGAGGCAGCUCUGGCCACUGGAGGGCUCCUGGAUUUUCCUGGCUGCCUGCAGACCGGGCAGGUCUCUGUGCCUGGCUCAGGAGGCUCUCUCAGGGCUGGCGGGGUCCUGGAGAACAAGCAGCCAGGAAAGUAGACUUCAGCUCAGUGCUGUUAACACUUCCUCUACCUGCACUCCAAAAUCUGCUUUUCAGUCCUGAAGAUUCCUGCUCUCCUUUCUUCAUCUUGACUUCCUUUUAAUGAGCUGGGAACUGUGACAUCCGCAGCUGCUCUGCUCCCGCUUUGCUGUGAGGAUUGCUCAGCCAGCCUGGGGAAAGGCAUGUGGUUUGGGAAACCUUUGUUGCCAUGUAAAUAGCCCUGAGUGCUUUUUUUCAUUCUUUACCAACGAAGAUUAGAGUUGCUUCCUUGGCUCUACAGUGAAUAACUAUGUAUGGGGGGAUUAGCAAAGUGACAUUUAAAUUCAAUGUUUUGGAAACGGAAUGUGAAGUGAAAUGCUGGCAACAGAGGCUUUUCGAGAACUUUUGGCUGCCCCCCCUCUCCCAGUUAGGGCACUUGACAAAAAGAAUCCUUGUGUGUGACACUGCCAGGAGCAGAUCUGUGCAGGCUCAGCAAAAGAACAGAGCUGUGUGGCAGGAAUUCUUUACCAGUGCCCCCCACACAAUGCCUGGGAAACUCCGGUGGUACUAACAUUUCUCUAAAAGCCCUUUCCUGGCACAUCUUUUAAGGAAAAGAGUCAGGAACUGCGCUGCGUCUCUGAGCAGAGAGAUGACAGGUAUGUGGCUAAUGAGAUACAAGCUGUAUACGUAUAAUUAAAAAGAAAAGCACACAGAGGAUAUUAUGGUCGCCUCAGAAGAGCUUUAGCGGGAGAAACUAUUGACUAUUGAAAUAACAUGCAUUUCCUAAAUCUGAUUGAGACAGUCUUCUAAGGUUACAAAUUUGCAUUACUUGCCCCUAGAUGCUCUAGCUCAGGGUCAGCUGUGUCACACAGUGCAGAGAAUGACAAUAGAAAUGCAUUUACACAGAAUUUCACUGUCCAGUUAGGAGAUAAUUACAUGUGAAGCCAAGUAUGAAGAAUCAGUAAGGUAACACUGACUGCUCAGAGAAACAAUAUGACACAGAUGCAUUAGAAACUCCAUUACCACAGGCUAUCUAAACAAACCUGCACAAGUUUUCACUUGCUGCUAUUACUCAGUCCUUACAGAAUCUGCUAACUGAGGCCUCAGCAUUGAGUGGGUGCUUGUGUAUAACUGAGGUUCUCAUUUGAACUUGACAUCUUCUUGUGGAUCUCUUCCUCACAUUUUGCAAAGGGCUUGUCAUGUGGGAUUUGUCAGCACUUUCCCAAAAGGCUGAGGGAAGAAUGUGAUGUGUUCUGCAAUUUAUGUCCUUUCUUGACUGUAAUCAGGAAGAUUAUUCUAACAGCAUCUUCCUCUGCUGAAGCUGUUCUCUUAGAGGAUGACUGUACAUGCUCUCUGUAGCCUUUCAUCCCUCAGGAUGUUAUUAUUCUUAAUGUUAUAAAUAUCAGGAUAAUGACUCAAUGGUCUAUUAGGCUUUCUUAAAUGUUUUGAAGCACAGUGUGGUCAGAAGCUGCUUUGAACUUACCACUUCACUGAUUUUUUAAAAUAUACCAAAGCUGACAUUGAGUCUUAAAUGCCUCACAGAGGCACCAGAGAUGCAGCUGAUGAAAAUCACAAGAUCUAAGUUUACAUGGAGAUCUAACUCUUUUUCCCUGUGGACAGCAAAAUCACAGGCUCAGAGGGCACCUCCUGAUAGAGGAAACAGGCCGACAUCUUCAUUGCUUUUCUACCCAAGUUCAUUUUCCAGAAUAGACACUUAUUUCUCUUUGCUCAUAUGUUCAUUUCUUCUGGUUUUGAGAUUACCCAAAUUCUAAACAGACAUCUUUCUGUAAAAACACAAAAUAAUUCUGCAAGAAGAGGAUCUUAGGGCAAAUAUAUAGAAGAACCUGUGCACCUGAGAUCCGUUCAGUUUUGGACACCAAGUUCUGAAACACACUAAAAUACUUCUGCUUUUCUGCUACAGUGCUCUGAGAAAACCUGAAUCUGGAACUGGUAUUUUGUACAUAAAUACCCUGAAAACAGGUCUGUAAAAGGCUCCCUCUUUACAGCAAACUGUUGGUGCUUUAUUUCAGUAGGAGUCCUUAGCCCUGCUGCGACAAAGGGUUUAGCAUAAAAUUCAAGUGAUCUUUCCAGGAUCUGAAAGAAUCCAAAUUGGAUUUGGAAUGAAAGAACAUGCUCAAAAAGACCAUGGAAAUCAGGUACUUCCAGCUCCUUUUAAAGAGAUGCUCUGCAAUGGUGACUGUUAAAGGUUUCUCCUUGAAAACCUAUUCCAGCAGUGAAGGAACAGGCUGAGAUAAAGUGACUCAAACAUUUAAGCAAAGGUGGCAUUUCAGUGAAGGCAAACAACCUCUACACAAAAAAUGGCAAAUGUAAAAGGAUUUGCAUCCUAAAGACAUUUUGGUAAACCUGGGGAUGUGUGUUUAGUGAGGGCUACAGCAGGAAUAGCAGAAUUUGGGCAAAGAGUGGUUAAAACUAAGUGUUCCCACAAGCUGAUUGUGUAACUCUGAGAAAUCACUUACCUCUUCUUGGAUUUUUUCCUCUUGUCAGUGAUCUGUGCCUGGGGAAAAGGAAAAAGCAUUGUAAGCCUUCAUUCAUAAAUAUAGUCAAGCACUUUCCACUCCCUGGUCUGUUGAUGCUGCAGUUGUGAAAGGAGAAUAUUAGAGGACUUUCCCUUUUUCAGUGCUGACCAACACUGGGCCUGAGACUUUCCACGGUGGAAAGCGGGACUUCGAAGCAGCUCAGAACCGAGGUGCAGAGCUAAACAAUGAGAGCUUUUGGAAGAGAUUAAUGUCGUGUUAUUAAUGCUGUCCAGGCUAGAAAGUGAUGGCAGUGGCUGGGGGUGACUCAGCAGCG